rnacentral:snRNA from 1 species
AUUGCUUCUCAGACUUUUGAAUAAGAUCAUGUGUAUUAUCUGUUCCUAUCAGUUUAAUAUCUGAUGCGUCUUUUAUCCAAGGAUGAUACAUUAGUGGGUUUUUCUCCACAUAUU